rnacentral:rRNA from 1 species
UGGGGAAUAUUGCACAAUGGGCGCAAGCCUGAUGCAGCCAUGCCGCGUGUAUGAAGAAGGCCUUCGGGUUGUAAAGUACUUUCAGCGAGGAGGAAGGCAUUAAGGUUAAUAACCUUAGUGAUUGACGUUACUCGCAGAAGAAGCACCGGCUAACUCCGUGCCAGCAGCCGCGGUAAUACGGAGGGUGCAAGCGUUAAUCGGAAUUACUGGGCGUAAAGCGCACGCAGGCGGUCUGUCAAGUCGGAUGUGAAAUCCCCCGGGCUCAACCUGGGAACUGCAUCCGAAACUGGCAGGCUAGAGUCUUGUAGAGGGGUGGA